CGGACAGCGAAGUCUCAGUAAUAGGGUCCCGUUUGACCCUUUGGGUACGGAGCCCUAAAAAGAAACCUGAGAAAGAAACUGAUUUUACUAGUCAGUAAUCGAUUUAUCGUAAUUGACAUAACGAUACGUUGAUUGAUUGUAAAAUAAAAUAUAUGCAUAAAUUAACCAUCUUAAGAAGAAGUAUCAUCAUAAUUUCUGCAUGAAAUUUUUAAUCUUAUGACUUAUAUUCGUUGAUUUAUUUAUAGCUUUUUAUUUGCCGUCAAAUUAUUGAGUCGAGUCGAAUCGAUUACAUUGGAAAUUUCGAAAUGGUGCAACACUGAAUUGUCUAUAGCGCUCAAUGGCCUCAAUGAAUUAUGUCAUGGAGACUUGAGACGUCAACGUCAUAUCAACGUCAAGUCAACGGAUUUUUUCAAGUAUUUUGCUGUGAACGCUUAUGUUUCGUGGAGUAUUAUAAUAUGUUAAUUAUUAAUAUGAAUUCCAAAUACGUCGUAUUCGGCCCCUCUGUGCAAAAAUACAACAAUAAAAACACUUUACAAAUGUGUUUAUUCAAAACAAUAAAAAAUAAUAAGAGAUAAGUGUUUAAUUAACAGAGCGCAGACCGGCACCCACUGAGUCUAGUUAUGACUUCGUCAAUUUGGUUGUGUGAAGGUUUUACAAAUGGUAUGGAAAAUUACUUGCAGUAUCAUGUGAUGAGGAAGAUGUCAAAAGCGAGCUUGAAACCAGGAUGUAUUCCCACAAUAUUUUCAUCUCAAUUGUCAACCAGACCAAGAACCACAAACAUCUGUUACUAUAGAACAAAAUAUGACAGCACUCAAAGUAUGUGUAUCGUCUUUGCAGUAUGGGGACCUAAUAGAAGAGAGUGAAUUCUAAUGAAAUUGCGUCUUCACCAAGUCCAGGUCAGCGUAGGAAGGAUGACGUUCCACAGUUGGAAUUAGUUCAGGCAUUCAUACCAAAAAAAAUACAGAAGUUAAGCGACUCAAUACAAAGUUACAUCAGUAAACCGGAUGACGUCCCCAUCAAACCCACACCAUUGUUUUGUCUCCAUAUCGCUAUUUACAAUAAUAAUUGUUGGUUGAAUAGUAAAGGGCCCAAACCCAAACCCAGUAAAUUGAUAAAAAGUAUUGACAAAUCUGUAAGUGAUAAAUACAUUCUGUGACGCGCACUGUGCUAGAGUUCUGACUCGACUAAGACAAGUCUGAUUUUAAAAGUCAAACUUCUACAAAAUUAUGUCAUAUAAGUUGCACUACAUGUGCUAUGAAAAUCAUUGCAGACUUAUCUUAGUCUAACUCUACUUAAAACGAUUAGAAAAACUCCUGCAUACUUGUUUGAAUAUAGUGCUAAGCUAAUACUUUUACUGACUGUAUGGUAAAUGGUAAAAUAUUGAUAUGGGUAAAGUGGCAGAAAUAUGUAUACACUACUCUAAUAUAUGGGCUAUAAGGUUGUGUAUACAUAUUUUUGGCUCUUCGAUCGUGUCGAUGUUUUCAGACGUGACUGUACAUAACAAAUAAAAUGAUUGAAUGGUUACUUAACCAUUAGGUACUUACCUAUUACACCUGUAGUGCCUAUACCUGUUAUUGUAAAGAAACGUUCAUAAAAUUGGGUUAUUUGCACUAGUUACCUCCAAGUUGUUACAAGUGACAAUUUUUUUCUCACCAACAGGUGAACACGCAAUAGACACUUCGGAAAAUUUCCAAAUAAAAUGGUAAAUUUUCCGAAGAUUCUAUUGUGGGGGCCCUCUUAUGUGUAGGCCCCGGGGCUGUAGCCCCCGGUUGCCCUCCCCUAAAUCCGGCCCUGGAAAUACCCAUGAAAUUUACUAUGAGUAGUAUGAGUGCAAUAUGAAAUAAGCAGUUAUGAUUUUACUUGAUAAAUUGUUAGUAUGGGGAAUAUUUUAUAUUAUAUUAUAAAAUAUUUUUGGUUGGGGACUGAAAAUCAGUGGUUUCACUGAGUCUCAUCCAUUUUACUCAACAAAUAUUUGUAAAUUCUACCAGUUUUUUUUUAUUGUACUUGAAAUUCAUUGUUUUGUAUUGGUAAAUAAAUAUCUUUAUAAGGAGUCUUUGCUUUGGUUGUUCUUAAAGCCUGUAUUUAUUUUAUUUAUUUAGCAAUGUAGCCAAUGUAGGUAUGUGUACUUUAAAAUACAAGCACAUUAUACCUAAUUAAUUAUAUUUAAAGUAUUUUUAAAUAAAUUGUUCUUAUGUAUUUCAGAAAUGCCAAAUAUUAAUAUACUAUCAAGACAU